UAAAGCGUGCGCAGGCGGUUUUGUAAGACUGUCGUGAAAUCCCCGGGCUCAACCUGGGAAUGGCGAUGGUGACUGCAAGGCUAGAGUUUGGCAGAGGGGGGUAGAAUUCCACGUGUAGCAGUGAAAUGCGUAGAUAUGUGGAGGAACACCGAUGGCGAAGCAGCCCCCUGGGUCAAAACUGACGCUCAUGCACGAAAGCGUGGGGAGCAAACAGGAUUAGAUACCCUAGU
rnacentral:rRNA from 1 species